rnacentral:tRNA from 1 species
AGUUAAUGAGCUUGAAUAAGUUUAUAUUUUGAAAAUAUAAGAUAGGAAUAAAUUCCUAUUAACUU